rnacentral:rRNA from 1 species
GUAGGUGGCAAGCGUUGUCCGGAAUUAUUGGGCGUAAAGCGCGCGCAGGCGGUUCUUUAAGUCUGAUGUGAAAGCCCACGGCUCAACCGUGGAGGGUCAUUGGAGACUGGAGAACUUGAGUACAGAAGAGGAAAGCGGAAUUCCACGUGUAGCGGUGAAAUGCGUAGAGAUGUGGAGGAACACCAGUGGCGAAGGCGGCUUUCUGGUCUGUAACUGACGCUGAGGCGCGAAAGCGUGGGGAGCAAACAGGAUUAGAUACCCUGGUAGUCCACGCCGUAAACGAUGAGUGCUAAGUGUUAGGGGGGUUUCCGCCCCCCUUAGUGCUGCAGCUAACGCAUUAAGCACUCCGCCUGGGAGUACGGCCGCAAGGCUG